rnacentral:rRNA from 1 species
GACGUAGGGCGCAAGCGUUGUCCGGAUUUAUUGGGCGUAAAGAGCUCGUAGGCGGCUCGUUGCGUCGGCUGUGAAAACCCGCAGCUUAACUGUGGGCCUGCAGCCGAUACGGGCGGGCUGGAGUUCGGUAGGGGAGACUGGAAUUCAUGGUGUAGCAGUGAAAUGCGUAGAGAUCAUGAGGAAGACCAGUGGCGAAGGCGGGUCUCUGGACAGUUCCUGACACUGAGACACGAAGGCCAGGGGAGCAAACGGG